rnacentral:rRNA from 1 species
AUACGGAGGAUCCGAGCGUUAUCCGGAUUUAUUGGGUUUAAAGGGUGCGCAGGCGGCCAUUUAAGUCAGCGGUUAAAUCGUGGGGCUCAACCCCAUUCUGCCGUUGAUACUGGGUGGCUUGAUUGCGGUCGAGGUUGGCGGAAUUCGUUGUGUAGCGGUGAAAUGCAUAGAUAUGACGAAGAACACCGAUUGCGUAGGCAGCUGACCAGACCGCAAAUGACGCUCAUGCACGAAAGUGCGGGGAUCGAACAGGAUUAGAUACCCUGGUAGUCCGCACAGUAAACGAUGAAUACUUGUUCUCGGCGAUAUAAUGUCGGAGGCAAAGCGAAAGCGAUAAGUAUUCCACCUGGGGAGUACGCCGGCAACGGUGAAACUCAAAGGAAUUGACGGGG